rnacentral:rRNA from 1 species
UACAGAGGGGGCAAGCGUUAUUCGGAAUUAUUGGGCGUAAAGGGCGCGUAGGCGGCUUGGCAAGUGGAUGGUGAAAUCCCUCGGCUUAACCGAGGAACUGCCGUCCAAACUGCUUAGCUUGAGACCGGGAGAGGUGAGUGGAAUUCCCAGUGUAGCGGUGAAAUGCGUAGAUAUUGGGAGGAACACCAGUGGCGAAGGCGGCUCACUGGACCGGUACUGACGCUGAGACGCGAAAGCGUGGGGAGCGAACAGG